ACCGAAAUAGCUCAGUCGGGAGAGCGUUAGACUAUAGAUCGAAAGGUGCCUGGUUCGAUCCCGGGUUCCCUCA
rnacentral:tRNA from 1 species